rnacentral:rRNA from 1 species
UUAAGUGACUAAGCGUACAAGGUGGAUGCCUUGGCAAUCAGAGGCGAAGAAGGACGUGCUAAUCUGCGAAAAGCUUGGAUGAGUCGAUAAGAGGCGUUUAAUCCAAGAUAUCCGAAUGGGGAAACCCAGUAGAUGAAGAAUCUACUAUCAACAAGUGAAUUCAUAGCUUGUUGAGGCAAACCGGGAGAACUGAAACAUCUAAGUACCCCGAGGAAAAGAAAUCAACCGAGAUUUCGUCAGUAGCGGCGAGCGAAAGCGAAAGAGCCAGUAAGUGAUAGCAGUAUAGUGAGGAGAAUGUGUUGGGAAGCACAAUCAAAGAGGGUGAUAAUCCCGUAUCUAAAAACCAUAUUGUGGUACUAAGCUAACGAGAAGUAGGGCGGGACACGUGAUAUCCUGUUUGAAGAAGGGGGGACCAUCCUCCAAGGCUAAAUACUCCUGAUUGACCGAUAGUGAACCAGUACUGUGAAGGAAAGGCGAAAAGAACCCCGGUGAGGGGAGUGAAAUAGAACCUGAAACCUUGUACGUACAAGCAGUGGGAGCCCCAUCACUUAAUCCGAUUGGAAGGUGAUGAAAAGCAACCGCAUUUAAACAAUGGUAAGAGGAGCGAAGCGAGUCAAACCACCCAAAAGAAGCAGUGGGAUUAAGUGAUGGGGUGACUGCGUACCUUUUGUAUAAUGGGUCAGCGACUUAUAUUUUGUAGCGAGGUUAACUGAAUAGGGGAGCCGAAGGGAAACCGAGUCUUAACUGGGCGAGUAGUUGCAAGGUAUAGACCCGAAACCCGGUGAUCUAGCCAUGGGCAGGUUGAAGGUUGGGUAACACUAACUGGAGGACCGAACCGACUAAUGUUGAAAAAUUAGCGGAUGACUUGUGGCUGGGGGUGAAAGGCCAAUCAAACCGGGAGAUAGCUGGUUCUCCCCGAAAUCUAUUUAGGUAGAGCCUUGAGGUGACACCUUUGGGGGUAGAGCACUGUUUCGGCUAGGGGGCCAUCCCGGCUUACCAACCCGAUGCAAACUACGAAUACCAAAGAGUGAUACUCAGGAGACACACGGCGGGUGCUAACGUCCGUCGUGGAGAGGGAAACAACCCAGACCGCCAGCUAAGGUCCCCAAGUCUAUAUUAAGUGGGAAACGAAGUGGGAAGGCUUAGACAGCUAGGAUGUUGGCUUAGAAGCAGCCAUCAUUUAAAGAAAGCGUAAUAGCUCACUAGUCGAGUCGGCCUGCGCGGAAGAUGUAACGGGGCUGAAAUAUAGCACCGAAGCUGCGGCAUCAGAAUUUAUUCUGUUGGGUAGGGGAGCGUUGUGUAAGCGGAAGAAGGUUCAUCGAGAGGUGGGCUGGACGUAUCACAAGUGCGAAUGCUGACAUAAGUAACGAUAAAACGGGUGAAAAACCCGUUCGCCGGAAGACCAAGGGUUCCUGUCCAACGUUAAUCGGGGCAGGGUGAGUCGGCUCCUAAGGCGAGGCUGAAAAGCGUAGUCGAUGGGAAACAGGUUAAUAUUCCUGUACUUGGUAAAGCUGCGAUGUGGGGACGGAGUAGGUUAGGUUAUCGCACUGUUGGAUAUGUGCGUUUAAGUUGGUAGGUGGGAAGUUUAGGCAAAUCCGGACUUCCUUAACACAGAGAGAUGAUGACGAGGCUCUACGGAGCUGAAGUAACUGAUACCACACUUCCAGGAAAAGCCACUAAGCGAAAGGCUUUACUAAACCGUACUGAAAACCGACACAGGUGGUCAGGUAGAGAAUACUCAGGCGCUUGAGAGAACUCGGGUGAAGGAACUAGGCAAAAUAGCACCGUAACUUCGGGAGAAGGUGCGCCGGCGUAGAUUGUAAGGGCUAGCCCCUGAAGGUUGAACCGGUCGAAGAUACCAGCUGGCUGCAACUGUUUAUUAAAAACACAGCACUCUGCAAACACGAAAGUGGACGUAUAGGGUGUGAUGCCUGCCCGGUGCUGGAAGGUUAAUUGAUGGUGUAAUCGAAAGAGAAGCACCUGAUCGAAGCCCCAGUAAACGGCGGCCGUAACUAUAACGGUCCUAAGGUAGCGAAAUUCCUUGUCGGGUAAGUUCCGACCUGCACGAAUGGCAUAAUGAUGGCCAGGCUGUCUCCACCCGAGACUCAGUGAAAUUGAAAUCGCCGUGAAGAUGCGGUGUACCCGCGGCUAGACGGAAAGACCCCGUGAACCUUUACUAUAGCUUGACACUGAACAUUGAAUUUUGAUGUGUAGGAUAGGUGGGAGCCUUUGAAGCAGUGACGCCAGUCAUUGUGGAGGCGACCUUGAAAUACCACCCUUUAACGUUUGAUGUUCUAACGAAGAUGACGAAACGUGGUCUCGGACAGUGUCUGGUGGGUAGUUUGACUGGGGCGGUCUCCUCCCAAAGCGUAACGGAGGAGCACGAAGGUUUGCUAAUCACGGUCGGACAUCGUGAGGUUAGUGCAAUGGUAUAAGCAAGCUUAACUGCGAGACAGACAAGUCGAGCAGGUACGAAAGUAGGUCAUAGUGAUCCGGUGGUUCUGAAUGGAAGGGCCAUCGCUCAACGGAUAAAAGGUACUCCGGGGAUAACAGGCUGAUACCGCCCAAGAGUUCAUAUCGACGGCGGUGUUUGGCACCUCGAUGUCGGCUCAUCACAUCCUGGGGCUGAAGUAGGUCCCAAGGGUAUGGCUGUUCGCCAUUUAAAGUGGUACGCGAGCUGGGUUUAGAACGUCGUGAGACAGUUCGGUCCCUAUCUGCCGUGGGCGUAGGAGAAUUGGUUGGGGCUGCUCCUAGUACGAGAGGACCGGAGUGGACGCACCACUGGUGUUCCGGUUGUGUCGCCAGACGCAUUGCCGGGUAGCUAAGUGCGGAAGAGAUAAGUGCUGAAAGCAUCUAAGCACGAAACUUGCCAAGAGAUGAGUUCUCCCAAUCUAAGAGAUUGUAAGGGUUGUUGUAGACUACGACGUAGAUAGGUCUGGUGUGUAAGUGUAGUGAU